AUUGAACGCUGGCGGCAUGCUUUACACAUGCAAGUCGAACGGUAACAGGCCGCAAGGUGCUGACGAGUGGCGAACGGGUGAGUAAUGCAUCGGAACGUGCCCAGUCGUGGGGGAUAACGCAGCGAAAGCUGCGCUAAUACCGCAUACGAUCUAUGGAUGAAAGCGGGGACCGUAAGGCCUCGCGCGAUUGGAGCGGCCGAUGUCAGAUUAGGUAGUUGGUGGGGUAAAGGCUCACCAAGCCAACGAUCUGUAGCUGGUCUGAGAGGACGACCAGCCACACUGGGACUGAGACACGGCCCCAGACUCCUACGGGAGGCAGCAGUGGGGAAUUUUGGACAAUGGGGGCAACCCUGAUCCAGCAAUGCCGCGUGCAGGAAGAAGGCCUUCGGGUUGUAAACUGCUUUUGUACGGAACGAAACGGCUCUGGUUAAUACCCGGGGCUAAUGACGGUACCGUAAGAAUAAGCACCGGCUAACUACGUGCCAGCAGCCGCGGUAAUACGUAGGGUGCGAGCGUUAAUCGGAAUUACUGGGCGUAAAGCGUGCGCAGGCGGUGCUGUAAGACAGGCGUGAAAUCCCCGGGCUCAACCUGGGAAUGGCGCUUGUGACUGCAGUGCUGGAGUGCGGCAGAGGGGGAUGGAAUUCCGCGUGUAGCAGUGAAAUGCGUAGAUAUGCGGAGGAACACCGAUGGCGAAGGCAAUCCCCUGGGCCUGCACUGACGCUCAUGCACGAAAAG
rnacentral:rRNA from 1 species